AUACGGAGGAUCCGAGCGUUAUCCGGAUUUAUUGGGUUUAAAGGGAGCGUAGGUGGACAGUUAAGUCAGUUGUGAAAGUUUGCGGCUCAACCGUAAAAUUGCAGUUGAUACUGGCUGUCUUGAGUACAGUAGAGGGGGGCGGAAUUUGCGGUGUAGCGGUGAAAUGCUUAGAUAUCACGAAGAACUCCGAUUGCGAAGGCAGCUCACUGGACUGCAAAUUACACUGAUGCUCGAAAGUGUGGGUAUCAAACAGGAUUAGAUACCCUGGUAGUCCACACAGUAAACGAUGAAUACUCGCUGUUUGCGAUAUACAGUAAGCGGCCAAGCGAAAGCAUUAAGUAUUCCACCUGGGGAGUACGGCGGCAACGGUGAAACUCAAAUGAAUUGACGGGG
rnacentral:rRNA from 1 species